rnacentral:rRNA from 1 species
UACGGGGGGGGCAAGCGUUGUUCGGAAUUACUGGGCGUAAAGGGCUCGUAGGUGGCCAACUAAGUCAGACGUGAAAUCCCUCGGCUUAACCGGGAACUGCGUCUGAUACUGGAUGGCUUGAGUUCGGGAGGAGGGAUAGCGGAAUUCCAGGUGUAGGCGGUAGAAAUGCGUAGAUAUCUGGAGGAACACCGGUGGCGAAGGCGGCAUCCUGGACCGACACUGACGCUGAGGAGCGAAAGCCAGGGAGCAACGGG